UACAGAGGGUGCAAGCGUUGUUCGGAAUUAUUGGGCGUAAAGCGCGUGUAGGCGGCCGUGCAAGUCGGGUGUGAAAACUCGGGGCUCAACCCCGAGCCUGCAGUCGAUACGGGCAGACUAGAGUGCUGUAGGGGAGACUGGAAUUCCUGGUGUAGCGGUGAAAUGCGCAGAUAUCAGGAGGAACACCGGUGGCGAAGGCAGCUCGCUGGGACGUGACUGACGCUGAGACGCGAAAGCGUGGGGAGCAAACAGG
rnacentral:rRNA from 1 species